UUGCUUAUAUACUCUUGAAAUUUUUUCGACUUAUCUAUUUAUCUUUUAUAAAAGGCUAAUAUUAAAAAUACUUUUUUAAGGUUCUAAAGUUCUUUCAAAUAUACCCCUAAAGUCAAAUUCUGUUGGUAAACUGUUAGGAGCAGCUGUUAUUUUUAUAAAAUUACUAUUAUGCCCUUUUAAAUAUAUUUUUUUACUGUCACCUACUUUUCUUAUUUGCCCUUAAGUUAAGGGUGAGGGAAGUAUUUUUUACUUGGGGCAAUUGCUUAUAUACCCCUAAAAAGUUCCCGACUUUCUGAUUUUUCUCUCUUAAAAGGCUAAUAUUGAAAAUACCCUUUGUACGUUCCAACCUAUUUCUAAUAUACCCAUAGAGUUAAAAUUUAUCAAUGAACUAUGUUAUCUCUAUAAAAUUACUAUUUUGCCAUUUCAAAUAUACCUUUCCACCAUCACUGACUUUCUUAUUUGCCCUUAAAGUCAGAGGCACAAAAAAUAUUUUGACUUUUGGUCUUUUCCAAUAUACCCCUCUACCGUCACCAACAUUUUUUAUUUGCUCUUAAGUUAAGGACAAAAUUGGUAUUUUAAUUUUUUUUAACUGUGGUGGAUAUCUAACUCACGUUUAACUUAAGUUAACUUAACAGGAGAUAACUGCGGGGGUAUUUUGCAAUAACGGUGGAACAUAUGAGGGGUAUUUUAGAAAGAAAAAAAAAAGUAGGGGUAAAUCGAAUAUCUUCAAACGUAUGAGGGGUAUAUAGACAAUUAUCUCUUUUUACUUUUUGUACUUUCAAAUAUACCCUUCUACUGUCACAAACUUUUUUUAUUUACCCUUAAGUUAUGAGGAAAAUAGGUAUUUUUACUAUUUUUAACUAUGGUGGUGGAAAUUUAACUCAGGUUUAACCUGAGAUGACUUAACGGGCACUUACAGAAAAAUUAUUCUUGAAUAACGAAAAAAUAUACGAGAAGUAUAUUGGAAACAAAAAAAUACUAGAAAUAAAUAAUAUAUUUCAGAAGUUUUGAAGGAUCUAUAGAUAAUUAUCUCUUUUAUUUUUAUAGAAAAUACCAACCGACUGCACUAAAUAAUGAUCAUAAAAAUUAUCAUAUUUUCU
rnacentral:lncRNA from 1 species